rnacentral:rRNA from 1 species
AGAGUUUGAUCCUGGCUCAGGACGAACGCCGGCGGCGUGCCUAAUACAUGCAAGUCGAGCGGAUUCAUCCUUCGGGAUGAGUUAGCGGCGGACGGGUGAGUAACACGUAGGUAACCUGCCUAUAAGAUCGGGAUAACUAUCGGAAACGAUAGCUAAGACCGGAUAACUGGUUUUCUCGCAUGAGAGAAUUAUGAAACACGGAGCAAUCUGUGGCUUAUAGAUGGGCCUGCGGCGCAUUAGCUAGUUGGUAGGGUAAUGGCCUACCAAGGCGACGAUGCGUAGCCGACCUGAGAGGGUGAACGGCCACACUGGGACUGAGACACGGCCCAGACUCCUACGGGAGGCAGCAGUAGGGAAUCUUCCGCAAUGGACGCAAGUCUGACGGAGCAACGCCGCGUGAGUGAUGAAGGUUUUCGGAUCGUAAAGCUCUGUUGCCCUAGACGAACAGCAAGGAGAGUAACUGCCUUUUGUGUGACGGUAUAGGAGAAGAAAGCCCCGGCUAACUACGUGCCAGCAGCCGCGGUAAU